CAAAACGUAGCGUAAUCUUCUGCUUCAACUGUAGGUGGCUGGCCCCGAACAUGGCAAUGUAUCAUUCAUGCACGCUGAGCAAAGAACACAUCGUUUUGCUUCUAAGAGAACAGGCCGCCGCAGUUCAAAGGAACGCGUAGCGAGCGCUCUACUUUUUCACUCGGAGUGGCUCCACCGCGCGCGCGCGCGCUCAAGAUCGCGGAACAACACAGCACCGGAGAGCAAAGGCUAGCCGAGCGAGCAAAGGCCAGCCGAGGGAGAUCGUGUGUCUGCCAUCUCGCGUCGCCACGAAAACACGACAGUCGUUCGUCAUGCCUUGGAUAUAACAACAAAUCCUCCACGGCACCCGCUUUAUAUAACGCAAGAAGGCAGCUGCAAGGACACGAGGAUGUGAAAGAGCCAGUGCAGCGCGACUUCACGUAGUGCAGAGGAGCCAAUGCCAAAAAAUCAAAAUACAUUGGCAUGUUAUUUGGACAAGAAAACUAGGACAACCCAGGACGUGCAUUUCUCAGCACCCAGUCAACUGCCAAAAGUGACUCAAACACAGGCCACCAGUGGAACUCGGCUGUACCACUGCAGUGCUGCGGAAAUUGCCUUCACCAGCGGCUUUGCAACAGCUGUAUCGCA